AUUGAACGCUGGCGGCAGGCUUAACACAUGCAAGUCGAGCGGUAGCACAGGGGAGCUUGCUCCCUGGGUGACGAGCGGCGGACGGAUGAGUAAUGUCUGGGAAACUGCCUGAUGGAGGGGGAUAACUACUGGAAACGGUAGCUAAUACCGCAUAACGUCGCAAGACCAAAGAGGGGGACCUUCGGGCCUCUUGCCAUCAGAUGUGCCCAGAUGGGAUUAGCUAGUAGGUGGGGUAAUGGCUCACCUAGGCGACGAUCCCUAGCUGGUCUGAGAGGAUGACCAGCCACACUGGAACUGAGACACGGUCCAGACUCCUACGGGAGGCAGCAGUGGGGAAUAUUGCACAAUGGGCGCAAGCCUGAUGCAGCCAUGCCGCGUGUGUGAAGAAGGCCUUCGGGUUGUAAAGCACUUUCAGCGAGGAGGAAGGUGGUGAGCUUAAUACGUUCAUCAAUUGACGUUACUCGCAGAAGAAGCACCGGCUAACUCCGUG
rnacentral:rRNA from 1 species